AACGAACGCUGGCGGCAUGCCUAACACAUGCAAGUCGAACGAGACCUUCGGGUCUAGUGGCGCACGGGUGCGUAACGCGUGGGAACCUGCCCUUAGGUUCGGAAUAACUCCCCGAAAGGGGUGCUAAUACCGGAUAAUGUCUUCGGACCAAAGAUUUAUCGCCUUUGGAUGGGCCCGCGUUGGAUUAGCUAGUUGGUAGGGUAAAAGCCUACCAAGGCGACGAUCCAUAGCUGGUCUGAGAGGAUGAUCAGCCACACUGGGACUGAGACACGGCCCAGACUCCGACGGGAGGCAGCAGUGGGGAAUAUUGGACAAUGGGCGAAAGCCUGAUCCAGCCAUGCCGCGUGAGUGAUGAAGGCCUUAGGGUUGUAAAGCUCUUUUACCCGGGAUGAUAAUGACAGUACCGGGAGAAUAAGCUCCGGCUAACUCCGUG
rnacentral:rRNA from 1 species